rnacentral:rRNA from 1 species
AUACGUAGGGUGCGAGCGUUGUCCGGAAUUACUGGGCGUAAAGAGCUCGUAGGUGGUUUGUCGCGUCGUCUGUGAAAUUCCGGGGCUUAACUCCGGGCGUGCAGGCGAUACGGGCAUAACUUGAGUACUGUAGGGGAGACUGGAAUUCCUGGUGUAGCGGUGAAAUGCGCAGAUAUCAGGAGGAACACCGGUGGCGAAGGCGGGUCUCUGGGAAGUAACUGACGCGGAGGGGCGAAAGCUUGGGUGGCGAACAGGAUUAGAUGCCCUGGUAGUCCAUGCCGUAAACGGUGGGCGCUAGGUGUAGGGGUCUUCCACGACUUCUGUGCCGUAGCUAACGCAUUAAGCGCCCCGCCUGGGGAGUACGGCCGCAAGGCAAAAACUCAAAGGAAUUGACGGGG